rnacentral:rRNA from 1 species
UACGGAGGGGGCGAGCGUUGUCCGAAGUUACUGGGCGUAAAGCGCGCGUAGGCGGGUUGGCAAGUCCGCUGUGAAAGCCCGGGGCUCACCCCCGGCGGGUCGGUGGAUACUGCCAGUCUUGAAGGUGCCAGGGGAAGAUGGAAUUACCGGUGUAGCGGUGAAAUGCGUAGAGAUCGGUAGGAACACCAGUGGCGAAGGCGGUCUUCUGGAGCAUUCUUGACGCUGAGGCGCGAAAGCUGGGGGAG